GUCACCAUGGUAGCAAGGCAAUUUGAUAAGGGACCCUUUUUAGCACAGAGCAUACGAAGAAGAUUAACAGCUAAUUGUGUACUGUCUAUACCUUUAUUAAAUUGUGUUGAUCCUUUACCUUUAACUGUUAGACCCUGAGAUUUCUCCUCCUUAUACCAUCAACAUGGUACUAAGAAUAUAUUGAGCAUUCAAAUAUAUGUAUUUACUGACUGAAUUAAAUGAAUAGUAUUUCUGUUAUGUCUUCCUUUCCAAGCUACCUGCGCAGCAAUUUGCUUUUUAAAAAUUACCUCUACAUUUGCCUGGGGGAUCAAAUCGAAUCAUUUUCCUGACUGGCCCAACAUGGAUUUCAUGUUGGGGGGUUAAAAGGACAGCAAUUAGGUAUUUGGAAAUACUGUAUGAUUAGGUAAGUAGAAUAGUAAGUAAAUUCACAGUCAUCAGGCCAUUCAAGGCCCAGAGGUUUUGUGUGAGGACUUCUGGUGACAAGUUUGGCAGCAGUUCCUAAAGUGCUUAUUAUCAGGCCUGAGUUAAAACCUUGAGAACAAGGAGUUCCACCACUAGGACUUCAGAUUGAGAAAGCUUUUUAAGCCCCCACCUCCUCCUUAUAUUCAGUUAGCACUCAGCCUGGGAAGCCUCCUUAUUAUACCUCCUUGAGUUAAUGAUCAUCUCUUAUAUAGCCUUUUCCCUAGUGUGUUCUUACAUUUCAUUUUUAAUUGUCAGGUAUAUAAUUGUUCUGAAUUUCAGUUACUUCCAUAUCUAUUUUUAGUAUUUUGUUUCACAUUUCUUUUUAAAAGAGCUUAAAUGUAGAUACACCCUUUUUAUUUUAAUAGUACCUUUAUUUGCUAUUUUGAGAUCUGGGUUCCUGUAGUUUCAGCAGACCCUCAGCAUGUGCCACACCAGCUUAUAGAUUGAUAUUCUCGUCAUGUUCAAGUUUGAAAACAGCUGCAAGAAUUUGUCCUUGGAAUUCUUUAGCAGUAGUUUCCAUUGCUAAAGACCAAAUUUGGCCACUCUAGUGGAUCAGCCACUGGGCCAAUAUCAUCAGCAUAUUAUCACCCUCACUGAGACAAACUAAACCAGAUCAGCCUCUUGCAGAACAAGUUGGAGAAGCUACUUUUCCUAGAAAGGGACAGGUUAAAUCCUUGCAAACCUGCUAAGGAAUUUGACCUAGUUCCUUGAAACUAGAAUGUUAUUUGAAAGAAAAACUUGUUGCAAAUGUGUUCUUCAAAAUUACUUUUGAACCCCUCUGAGACAGGGGGAAAGUAAUUCUCUUCACAUGGCCUCACCUUCACCACCAGUUAGUUCAAUUUAAUGUGAAGUUGGGGAAGAAACAAAUAGUACAACUUCAUUUUAUCAAAAGAAUAUGUAGGUCUCUAGUUGUAAAAGUCUGAAUACAGACUGAAUAAGAACUUGCAGUUCUGGCACUCAGUGCUUUUUACUUUUUUCCCCAAUGUGUAAUUUAUACUCUGUCAAAAUAACUUGAAUUUCCUAAAAAUGUCUCCUUUUCUGCUUCUGUACCUUUGCAGUUGCAAACCACUUAGACUAUGAAUGUGUUGCUAAUUUUUAAGCCUCAUCUCCAGUGUUAACCUCCUCCAUGAAAAUGUUACUGGUUGUCUGAAUAAAGUAUAC
rnacentral:lncRNA from 1 species